GGCCCCGCCCCCAAGCAACCAACUGUGAGCAAGGGUUAGUGAGGCAACUCAAUCAACAGUCAGGGAGUGGUGGUCGUCAGCCAGAGAGUGAGCUGAGAUCCGCUCAUCUGGCCUCAAGUUAGUGGGUGAAGGCUGCAGUGAACCUCUCCGGCAUCCCCGCCUCUGUGACCCAAUGACAGCAGCUGUCUGCAUAGGGAAGCAUCUACUCUUGAGAACCUGGUCAAGCUCCACAAAAGCGGGAACCACUUCUUCGCCAGGGUUCUCCUAGAGUUUUAAUUGUCAGUCUUGUCCACACUGAGUCUCCAGUAAUUUGUCAAUUACAGUUCAGGUGUUCCCACCACAGCACUGGUUUCCAUGGUGUUUUCACUCCUGGGGCUCUGUUCAGCUGGGCAGGAGCCUCCCAUGGCCUGUGCCCGCACAUCACCCCAGGUGACCCUCUGGUGACCGAAGAAAUUGCCGAGCCCACUGAAUUGCCCUUUGUCAAUGGUCCAACACUAAGAUAAGUGGAGACCUGGACCCUCAGAGGAGAAUUUGCUGGAGAAUUCCCUCUACAGAUCAGAAAUAAAAAGGGCCAUUCUCCUUGUGACCCCUCCACAUCUCCACAGUUCAGUGCCACAGAAGGAAAGAAAAAUCACAGCUCUGCUUGCCUGAAUAAAGAGCACAUGUUGGAUUCCCUCUUAAAGUGGCCCCAGGAGACGCUUGGUUGAGAUGAGGGACUUUGAAAGUGGGAUCUGGUUAGCUAUGAUGCAGACAGGAAAUACAGAUAUCACAGACUUUCCAUUUUAACCCGUACUGUGCCUGUUGGUUCCCACACCCAGCUGAGGGCCAGCUGUGGCUAUAGCCUGCAGAGUUCCUCAGGAAUAUUUGUUCACUGUAUCACAGAAAAAGUAAUAUCCCCAGACUCCAUCUGGUUGCUAUCUUUUCUGAUGCAUCCCCCAAACAACUUGUAUAGAAAGCUGUGAGGUGGGAGGGAUACUAACUUGGCCCCUCCCAGACUGUGGGAGGAGAGACAGGUGGUCAGAGCUCAGAAGAGGAUGUGGCACUGUGAGGCUUCAUAGAGGUGGGGCCAGAGCCCCUUUGAGGACAUUUCAUUCAGAGCUGAGGGAAGCCGGAGUGCUCACAACCCUCUCCUCUCUGCACCCCAUUACCUCCUGUUCCCAACGGCCUCUUUGCUAUUCCUCAAACAUGGUCCCCCCAUGGGCCAUUUGUACCUGCUGAUCCUCUGGACUGUUCUUCCCCCAGUGCCCACACG